AUGUCUCCGCAGCCGCACUUCCUCGUGCUGACGUUCCCGCUCCAGGGCCACAUCGCGCCGGCGCUCCGCCUCGCCCGGCGCCUGCUCGCCGCCGCGCCCGACGCGCUCGUCACGUUCUCCACCACUGAAGCAGCGCACCGCCGCAUGUUCCCGGCGGAGGCGGGCGCGCCCGACGGCGGCGGUGGCGAUGACUGCCGCCUCGAGCUCCUCCCGUUCUCGGACGGCACCGAGGCCGGGUACGUUAGGAGCAGCACCGACCCUGCCGCGUUCACCGACUACAUGGCGUCCUUCCAAGCCGCGGGCGCGCGCAGCGUCGGGGAGCUGGUGGACGCGUUCGCCGAGCGCGGCCGCCCCGUGACCCGCGUCGUGUACACGAUGCUCCUCCCGUGGGCCGCGGACGUGGCGCGCGACAAAGGCUUGCCGUCCGCGCUCUACUGGAUCCAGCCGGCCGCCGUGCUCGCCGUCUACUACCACUACUUCCAUGGCCACGCCGCCGUCGUGGCCGACCACCGCCAUGACCCGUCGUUCCUCGUGCGGUUCCCGGGCCUACCGCCGCAGGCCGUGCGGGACCUCCCGUCCUUCCUCACCGAGUCCACCGAUCCGUCCGACUUCUUCCACAGCGUGUACACUACCGUCCGCGACCUGUUCGACACGCUCGACAGGGAGACCCCCAGAGCCACCGUGCUCGUCAACACGUGCCAGGAACUCGAGGAGGGCGCGCUCGCCGCGGUGGGAGCGUACGACGCGCUGCCGAUCGGCCCGGUGCUCCCGUCCGGCGACGAGGCCGGCCUCUUCAAGCAGGACGGCGUCAAGUACAUGGAGUGGCUCGACGCCAAACCGGCCGAUUCCGUGGUGUACGUCGCGUUCGGGAGCCUGGCGAGGAUGGAGAGGGAGCAGCUCGACGAACUGCUCCUCGGACUCGAGGAGACCGGGAGGCCGUACCUGUGCGUCGUCCGGAAGGACAUCAAGGCGGAGCUCGCGGAUGGCGAGGCGUCGGAGACGGAGAUGGACGCGCCACUCAAGAACGGCAUGGUGGUGGAGUGGUGA
rnacentral:rRNA from 1 species